CCAAGAGACAGCAGCUCCCGGGCUUUGCUGGCCUUGACAGUGGGGCCAGAUGCAGGACCGGGGGCAUGACAUCUCCUUGGCCACCCCGGAGCGGGAUCUGGAACUUAUUCAAGAGACAGAAAGGGCGAUUUGGCAGCUGGAGGCUGACAUUUGGAUGUCCAUCAGAUGUCUAAAGAUUUGGCCUCGAUGAUCUGAGCCCAAGGAGACCCAACUGACAGCUCGGAAGCCAACAUGGAAGCUCAGAGUUCCCCUGAGGUCAGCUGCGGUCGGGAUGCAUCUCCUCAGGACAACCGGACGGUCACAGCAGCCCAGGGCUACCUCACAAGGCACCUCGGUGCCCUCACGUCCUCUCAGAAUGCAGCCAUUUGAUCGUCUGCAUCGGCAUCGUCCCAUCGGAAGAAGGGUUCCUAGAGAGAGAAGAAACAGAAUAUAUACAGGAUUGCUGGCUUCAGCGUCCCCUGGGGGGGUCUCGGACUCUACCCCUGAGACAAAAUACCCUUGGCCUUAGUGCUGGGAAUGCAGGCCAGAAGCUGUGUUCUCCUGCUGAGAGAAAGGACAUCAGCCUGCCUGUGACAGUCACACGUCCCCCUGGAGAACUCUCCCACGUGUGAUGUUGGGGGCGGCAGCUUUGGGUUCCCUGCAGUGAGUGAGUGUGGGGGAUCCGGUCACCUCCUCUGGGUGUUCAAUCUGACAAGGACACAGGCCACCUGGGUGCCUCAGUCAGCUGAGCGUCCCACUCCUGAUUUCGGCUCCAGACAGGAUCCCAGGG